AUUGAACGCUGGCGGAAUGCUUUACACAUGCAAGUCGAGCGGCAGCGCGGGGGCAACCCUGGCGGCGAGCGGCGAACGGGUGAGUAACAUAUCGGAACGUACCCCGUCGUGGGGGAUAACACAGCGAAAGCUGUGCUAAUACCGCAUACGACCUGAGGGUGAAAGCGGGGGAUCGCAAGACCUCGCGCGAUGGGAGCGGCCGAUAUCGGAUUAGCUUGUUGGUGAGGUAAAGGCUCACCAAGGCGACGAUCCGUAGCUGGUCUGAGAGGACGACCAGCCACACUGGAACUGAGACACGGUCCAGACUCCUACGGGAGGCAGCAGUGGGGAAUUUUGGACAAUGGGGGGCAACCCUGAUCCAGCCAUUCCGCGUGAGUGAAGAAGGCCUCGGGUUGUAAGACGUCUUUCUAGCAGGAACGAAACGGUAGGCCGACUAAUAACUGGCUACUAAUAGACGGUACCUCGAAGAAGAAGACACCGGCUAACUACGUAGCCAGCAGCCGCGGUAA
rnacentral:rRNA from 1 species